rnacentral:rRNA from 1 species
AUGGAGCUAUCUACAUCUUUACAUGAUAAGCUGACACCUAAUAAGGAUCAGGAGAACAACAGAGAUGCUAAGAGGCAACCUUUUGGGGUUAAGGAUAUCAACAACAACAGGGCUUAUGAGGCCGAAGAGAGCUCGAGUGGCGUCUUUUGGUACUUGAAGCCCUGCAUGUUCCUGGUGUAG